CGGGACACGUGGUAUCCUGUCUGAAUAUGGGGGGACCAUCCUCCAAGGCUAAAUACUCCUGACUGACCGAUAGUGAACCAGUACCGUGAGGGAAAGGCGAAAAGAACCCCGGCGAGGGGAGUGAAAAAGAACCUGAAACCGUGUACGUACAAGCAGUGGGAGCACGCUUAGGCGUGUGACUGCGUACCUUUUGUAUAAUGGGUCAGCGACUUAUAUUCUGUAGCAAGGUUAACCGAAUAGGGGAGCCGAAGGGAAACCGAGUCUUAACUGGGCGUUAAGUUGCAGGGUAUAGACCCGAAACCCGGUGAUCUAGCCAUGGGCAGGUUGAAGGUUGGGUAACACUAACUGGAGGACCGAACCGACUAAUGUUGAAAAAUUAGCGGAUGACUUGUGGCUGGGGGUGAAAGGCCAAUCAAACCGGGAGAUAGCUGGUUCUCCCCGAAAGCUAUUUAGGUAGCGCCUCGUGAAUUCAUCUCCGGGGGUAGAGCACUGUUUCGGCAAGGGGGUCAUCCCGACUUACCAACCCGAUGCAAACUGCGAAUACCGGAGAAUGUUAUCACGGGAGACACACGGCGGGUGCUAACGUCCGUCGUGAAGAGGGAAACAACCCAGACCGCCAGCUAAGGUCCCAAAGUCAUGGUUAAGUGGGAAACGAUGUGGGAAGGCCCAGACAGCCAGGAUGUUGGCUUAGAAGCAGCCAUCAUUUAAAGAAAGCGUAAUAGCUCACUGGUCGAGUCGGCCUGCGCGGAAGAUGUAACGGGGCUAAACCAUGCACCGAAGCUGCGGCAGCGACGCUGAUGCGUUGUUGGGUAGGGGAGCGUUCUGUAAGCCUGUGAAGGUGUGCUGUGAGGCAUGCUGGAGGUAUCAGAAGUGCGAAUGCUGACAUAAGUAACGAUAAAGCGGGUGAAAAGCCCGCUCGCCGGAAGACCAAGGGUUCCUGUCCAACGUUAAUCGGGGCAGGGUGAGUCGACCCCUAAGGCGAGGCCGAAAGGCGUAGUCGAUGGGAAACAGGUUAAUAUUCCUGUACUUGGUGUUACUGCGAAGGGGGGACGGAGAAGGCUAUGUUGGCCGGGCGACGGUUGUCCCGGUUUAAGCGUGUAGGCUGGUUUUCCAGGCAAAUCCGGAAAAUCAAGGCUGAGGCGUGAUGACGAGGCACUACGGUGCUGAAGCAACAAAUGCCCUGCUUCCAGGAAAAGCCUCUAAGCAUCAGGUAACAUCAAAUCGUACCCCAAACCGACACAGGUGGUCAGGUAGAGAAUACCAAGGCGCUUGAGAGAACUCGGGUGAAGGAACUAGGCAAAAUGGUGCCGUAACUUCGGGAGAAGGCACGCUGAUAUGUAGGUGAAGCGACUUGCUCGUGGAGCU
rnacentral:rRNA from 1 species